GGUCUUGAAUUCCUGGCCUCAAGGGAUCCUCCUGCUUUGUCCUCCCAAAGUAUGGGAUUACAGGUGUGAGUCACAGUACCCAGCCUUUUUCUAACAAUUUCUUUCAGGGUGAUAUGUUAACAGGAUAUAGGAAAAAGGCUUCACUGUGCAAGACCUCUAAAUACCAAAACAGAGUCGAAACUGUGAAAUCUAUUUCAAUGCAUGAGAGCUCCUGUCGCUCCACAUCCUCAGCAGCACGUGGUGUUCGGUGUUCUGGAUUUUAGACAUUCUAAUAGGACUCAUUAGUUCUAACAGAUUUGUUUGUCAAUUCCUCAAGAUUUUCUACAUCUAAAAUCAUGUCAUCUGCAAAAAGAGCCCAGCUUCCCUGCUGAGGGAAGUGAGGAUAGCGUGCAAGAAGCCCCUGUCCCUGGAGAAAAGGAGAGCGGCUGGUCAAGGACACAGAUGAGGCCAUGCUUUCUGUAUCUUCCUACCAUUACACAGCUGGACCUGGGAUAGUCGGCUGGCCGCAAAGGCCUGGGAAUCAAGGGAAACCGCUUUUCAACAUCCACAUCUAAAGAGAUGACAAGAAUAAUUUCUCAUGUAUCCUAUUUUUUAAUUUUAGAAGCAAUCAUUUCAAAGUUUAACUCUAAGAAUCUCUAGUAAAACUGGCUUAGUCUACAUACAAAUAAAUGUGGGAUAAUAAACAUAUACAAUAGAAAAUUUUAAUGCAGUCAUAAAAAUAGGUGCUUGCCUGUGAAUAGUGCCUAGGAUAGCUGAACAGAUGGGAAGCAGAUGGGAAACCCCAAAGGGGCAAAAUGA
rnacentral:lncRNA from 1 species